UGCCAGCCGCCGCGGUAAUACGGAGGAUCCAAGCGUUAUCCGGAAUUAUUGGGUUUAAAGGGUCCGUAGGUGGUUUAUUAAGUCAGAGGUGAAAUACUGCAGCUUAACUGUAGAACUGCCUUUGAAACUGAUAGACUUGAGUUAUUGUGAAGUAGUUAGAAUGUGUAGUGUAGCGGUGAAAUGCAUAGAUAUUACACAGAAUACCGAUUGCGAAGGCAGAUUACUAACAAUGUACUGACACUGAGGGACGAAAGCGUGGGUAGCGAACAGGAUUAGAUA
rnacentral:rRNA from 1 species